GCACGGAUCCCACGAAAGCAGCAGGAGGAUGUGGGUCCCCAAUGGAGUGGAGGCCUGGAAAGAGGGGACAUGGGUGACAAGUCUUCGAUACUGGAAGGGCAGCCUACCUGAGAGGAGCUGUUGAGGCCCCAGUCAUGCUGCCCACAGUCGAGGGUGCCCUGCAGGCGUCUGGCCCCCAGGAAGGCAGGGCAGGAGUCCUGCAUCCUUGCCCAGCACGGCAGCCAGAAAUGUCGGGCUU
rnacentral:lncRNA from 1 species